rnacentral:rRNA from 1 species
ACACAAAAGCGCAUGUGCUGUGAGCUCGAUGAGUAGGGCGGGACACGUGGUAUCCUGUCUGAAUAUGGGGGGACCAUCCUCCAAGGCUAAAUACUCCUGACUGACCGAUAGUGAACCAGUACCGUGAGGGAAAGGCGAAAAGAACCCCGGCGAGGGGAGUGAAAAAGAACCUGAAACCGUGUACGUACAAGCAGUGGGAGCACCCUUUGGGGUGUGACUGCGUACCUUUUGUAUAAUGGGUCAGCGACUUAUAUUCUGUAGCAAGGUUAACCGAAUAGGGGAGCCGGAGGGAAACCGAGUCUUAAUUGGGCGUUAAGUUGCAGGGUAUAGACCCGAAACCCGGUGAUCUAGCCAUGGGCAGGUUGAAGGUUGGGUAACACUAACUGGAGGACCGAACCGACUAAUGUUGAAAAAUUAGCGGAUGACCUGUGGCUGGGGGUGAAAGGCCAAUCAAACCGGGAGAUAGCUGGUUCUCCCCGAAAGCUAUUUAGGUAGCGCCUCGUGAAUUCAUCUCCGGGGGUAGAGCACUGUUUCGGCUAGGGGGCCAUCCCGGCUUACCAACCCGAUGCAAACUGCGAAUACCGGAGAAUGUUAUCACGGGAGACACACGGCGGGUGCUAACGUCCGUCGUGAAGAGGGAAACAACCCAGACCGCCAGCUAAGGUCCCAAAGUCAUGGUUAAGUGGGAAACGAUGUGGGAAGGCCCAGACAGCCAGGAUGUUGGCUUAGAAGCAGCCAUCAUUUAAAGAAAGCGUAAUAGCUCACUGGUCGAGUCGGCCUGCGCGGAAGAUGUAACGGGGCUAAACCAUG